rnacentral:rRNA from 1 species
UACGUAGGGUGCGAGCGUUGUCCGGAAUUAUUGGGCGUAAAGGGCUCGUAGGCGGUUUGUCGCGUCGGGAGUGAAAACUCGGAGCUUAACUCCGAGCCUGCUUCCGAUACGGGCAGACUAGAGGUAUGCAGGGGAGAACGGAAUUCCUGGUGUAGCGGUGAAAUGCGCCGAUAUCGGGAGGAACACCGGUGGCGAAGGCGGUUCUCUGGGCCUGUACUGACGCUGAGGAGCGAAAGCGUGGGGAGCGAACAGG